UACGUAGGUGACAAGCGUUGUCCGGAUUUACUGGGCGUAAAGAGCGCGCAGGCGGUCGAUCAAGUCGAGUGUGAAAGCCCCCGGCUCAACUGGGGAGGGUCAUUCGAUACUGAUCGACUCGAAGGCAGGAGAGGGUAGUGGAAUUCCCGGUGUAGUGGUGAAAUGCGUAGAUAUCGUAAGGAAGACCAGUGGCGAAGGCGGGUCUCUGGACAGUUCCUGACGCUGAGGCACGAAGGCCAGGGGAGCAAACGGG
rnacentral:rRNA from 1 species